UACAGAGGGUGCAAGCGUUAAUCGGAUUUACUGGGCGUAAAGCGUGCGUAGGUGGCGAUUUAAGUCGGAUGUGAAAGCCCUGGGCUUAACCUGGGAACUGCAUUCGAUACUGGGUUGCUAGAGAUCGGUAGAGGGCAGCGGAAUUCCGGGGUGUAGCGGUGAAAUGCGUAGAUAUCCGGAGGAACACCGAUGGCGAAGGCAACUGCCUGGGCCUGAUCUGACACUGAGGCACGAAAGCGUGGGGUAGCAAACAGGG
rnacentral:rRNA from 1 species